rnacentral:rRNA from 1 species
GAUGAACGCUAGCUACAGGCUUAACACAUGCAAGUCGAAGGACCGGCGCACGGGUGUGUAACGCGUAUCCAACUCGCUCUUUACUCGGGGAUAGCCUUUCGAAAGAAAGAUUAAUAGCCGAUAUAAAGGAUGGGGAUGCGUUCCAUUAGGUUGUUGGUGAGGUAACGGCCCACCAAGCCUUCGACGGAUAGGGGUUCUGAGAGGAAGGUCCCCCACAUUGGAACUGAGACACGGUCCAAACGCGUACGGGAGGCAGCAGUGAGGAAUAUUGGGAAAUGGGCGUUAGCCUGAACCAGCCAAGUAGCGUGGAGGAUGAAGGCGUAUAGGUCGUAGACUACUUUUAGAUAAGAAUAGGUAUUAGAUGAAUAAGGAUCGGCUAACUCCGUGCCAGCAGCCGCGGUAAUUC